GUAUGUUAGAGUGAUCUGAUAUGACCUCUGUUCCCUAUUGAUUACCAGGGUUGAUUCAGAUGAUCUGGCUGGUGAGAUGUGUGUUUCCUUCCUCCCUCACCACUCCAUGUGUAUUCCUCCUGAAGCUGUGCGCUUGGUCAAAGAGGACACUAUUCCUUGAUAGAGGAGAAAUGUUCUUCUUUUAAGGGCAUAUGGUAACUCUCAAGGUCCAUUUGUAGGAGAACAAAACAUAAUCUUCCAAGACUCCAGGCACGUCCAAAUGUGGUCCUGCCCAUGGCAGUCUGCAAGUCUU
rnacentral:snRNA from 1 species